CACACCCACAGAGCACUAUCACUUCACAACUCAUCUCUUCCCCUCAUACAAAAAAAAACUUCACAGCUCCUCUCUUAAUUGUACAGCCCCAGCGGGAAGCAUGCCUGGGUAUUUUACAAGAUUAUUAUUGCAACACGUAGAUAAACUCCUUAAAACAUGGCUUUACAUCGCUCGCUACAAACCUCAACUAGCGACUGCGAUGAAGCUAAAACGUACGUAGAGUACUAUAUCUAGCUUGGAAGCUAGGUGGCGUGCUUGCCAUCCUUGAGAUGGCGAGCCUUCUCCUCCUUCACCUGUGAGGUGUCAUGGUCUAAAAAAAACGACACAUUUCAGUUAUUAAUUUAUUAUUAG
rnacentral:lncRNA from 1 species